AGAAAAAAUUAUUCAACAUGUGAUAUCAGUAACUUAAACUUGUCUAAUGUAGCAGGCAAUUUUGAUUUAUUUGAUAGAAGUUUUUAAAUUACACGGAUAUUUUUGGUAGUGAACUGUGCACACACAAGCCUAAACCAAAAAGACGAACGCCACUCCCUCCUCCACUCCCCAACCGAACCACCACCGUCAAUGGCGACCUCUUUCAAUCCACCAAUCGCCUUUCGCUUCCUCAAAUCGCCACUUUCCUCUUUUCCUUUAUCACCGUCCUCACUUCCCCAAUCGCAUUGCACCUUCAAAUUCCCAACCACUCGCUGCCGUUACUCAUCUCUUGAAGUUAAAGAUGUUAGUUAUCAACCUCCAGGGACUCAGCUUAACCUUCUCAAUUCAGUUAGUUUUUCUCUUCCGGAGAAAAGUUUUGGUCUAAUUUUUGGACAAAGUGGAAGCGGAAAAACAACACUGUUGCAGCUUCUUGCAGGAAUAAGCAAACCAACAUCUGGAUCUAUUUACAUCCAAAAAUAUGGGGAUGAUGGAAAUCCUAGUCAAUCUCCGGAGCCCUUGGUGCCAGAAAGGGUUGGUAUUGUCUUCCAGUUUCCAGAGAGGUAUUUUGUUGCUGAUACUGUACUUGAAGAAGUCACUUUUGGGUGGCCAAGGCAAAAGGGUAAUGAUCAAUUAAGGGAGAAACUUGCUCUAGGGCUUCAGAGGGCAAUUAACUGGGUUGGAUUAAGUGGGAUAUCAUUGGAUAAGAAUCCUCACUCCCUCAGCGGUGGUUACAAACGUCGCCUUGCCUUGGCAAUACAGUUAGUGCAAGUCCCUGAUUUAUUAAUACUGGAUGAGCCUCUUGCUGGACUUGAUUGGAAAGCGCGUGCAGAUGUUGUGAAGCUUUUAAAGCAUCUAAAAAAAGAAUUAACUGUGCUAGUUGUCAGCCAUGACUUGAGAGAUUUUGCGAGUCUAGUUGAUCAAUCAUGGAGGAUGGAAAUGGGUGGCAAUCUUAAACAGGAGUUACUACCAUUAUAAUUUAUAUUUAUUGCCUUGAUAACCAAGAUGGAAUACUAUGAGUUGUCAACAUAUAUAUGAGGUACUCUUUAAUUAGCGUGUAGACGUUGGGGACAUUUGGUCCUUAGAAUGGACUCGGGGCUUGUUUCACAAUAUAUUUGUGGGCCUUUGCUUUUCCCACACUUCAAGCCAGAGUUAAUUGGGUAAUUUUAGCGAUAAGUUAAAUAAUCCGCAUAAGAUUCUAUUUUCCGCGACAGGCAGUGACCUCCAAGUAGGAGAGUGUAAGUGAGAAGGAAUAGGAAAGAAGCAAAAUAUCACAGCCUCUAAAUUAGUUGAAACUGGUUAGGUUAACUAAGUGGACUGACUAUUAUUAAUUGAGAUAGCUGCAGGGUGGUAAUUUAAAGAGGAGUAAAGAAUGUGAGGUAGGGUAUUGGAUUAAAUUCUGAGUGUGUGGAAGAGGCCAGGACCUCUGAAUUCAUCAGCAAUUAUUUUGUUCAAUUUAUUCUUUUCCCUGAACCAGUUCACACGUUUGGGAAUCAGCUGUCAGUUCUUACCGCUGGUUUGAGUAUUUACAAUAUUGUAUAUGGGCAAUAUGAAGAGAGCAGCUGUAACAAGUUUUGCUUGAAAACGUCUUUAGUUCCUGAGACAAUGUCUGUUCCUGUUGCUGAAAGAUCCACGUCAUGACAAAAAAGCGAUGAGCUAUGUUUGCAUGGAACCGGAGAAAAACUGUUGUAAAUCUCAGACUUGAACAUUACUAAGCAUUUCUUAGUUGUAAAACAUACAUCAUGGAUAUAUCACGUACAAGUACUACAGUGAGUGCUACAGCUUCUCAAGUACUGAACAUAGUUGGAUGUAUUAAUUCUUUUUAAUUUUUUAUGGAUUUUAUUAUGCCACAUAGGUGGAUGUUCUUAAUUCUUUUCACAUCAGCAAUGUAUCUCUUUUAGAAUUUACUCUACAUCUGAUGCUGUGUAUAGAGAAAUUCCUUUUUUAAAGAUUUAUAGGAACAUGUUUUCUGCAAGAACAUUAAGAACAGUUUUACAUGUUGAAUCUGUCUUGAUCUCUAUUCAA